AAAGUCGUAACAAGGUUUCCGUAGGUGAACCUGCGGAAGGAUCAUUAACAUGUUGGAGUGGCCUUCGGGCCACGACCUCCAUAGACCCACCUCUGCGUACUUGUGCCCUGUUGCUUCCGUGAGCCACCGGGGGUCAACAACCCCUCGGACGCCGGCGGUGACGCCUCCUCGGGCGGUCGCCUCUGGUGGAGCGCUCACGGGAGGUACACAAAACGAAACUCAACUGAGAUACAUACCUUCCGUCUGACCGUAUAUAUAAAAUAAAAGUUAAAACUUUCAGCAACGGAUCUCUUGGUUCUC
rnacentral:misc_RNA from 1 species